CGUUCGAAGUGGUUUGGAUUCGGUUUCGUUUUAAACGGACGUAUUAUAAAAUGCUCGUACUGUAAUUCGGAAUCUAAAAUGUAUACUUGAUGUACAUAUAUAGUAUAUACCGUAUUUGAUUUUCCUGCAAAACUAAAAAGUAAAGAAUUUAAUAAUGGGUAAUCGUAAAAAUUAUAGACACUAAAAAAAGGUAAGGGUUGGAGAUCUCCUUAUAAUCUCCUCCUCCCCCCCCAGUAAAUACGCCACUGCAGGGUGAUUUUAAUUUAUACAACGCAGAAUUUACGUGCUGUUUGCGAGCUCGGACGAGCAAUGCCAAGGGCUUUUUUAUUUCCAUUAGUAUUCGCAAUAUCAUCGCGAAAUUGAGCAUAUUGAAAAAUAAUAAAUAUUAAAGUGUCUUGAAAAAAUAAAUACAAUUUAAUAUAAUUAGACCGUUUGAAUGUAUACCUCACAUUCGUUAAAAGUAACCGAUGACUAUUUCCCCUCAAAAGUGAAAUCUUUUACAAAGUGAUAAUAUUCAUUUGUUUGUUUCAUCAGUCGUGUUGGUUACAAAGCGGUCACAAAAUGUUGUAACCAUCUCGGAUAGAUGUUGACGAUCGGUGACUUUUCAUCAUCCCCUCCAGAAUUAUUAUUUCUCCUAUCGUUAAACCAUUUUCGCGGUGUCUAAGGCGUAUUAUCAUUAUUGACGUAGCCGUUUAAGUUGUUGUUUCUG